UAAUGUCUGGGAAACUGCCUGAUGGAGGGGGGUAACUACUGGAAACGGUAGCUAAUACCGCACAAUGUCGCAAGACCAAAGUGGGGGACCUUCGGGCCUCAUGCCAUCAGAUGUGCCCAGAUGGGAUUAGCUAGUAGGUGGGGUAACGGCUCACCUAGGCGACGAUCCCUAGCUGGUCUGAGAGGAUGACCAGCCACACUGGAACUGAGACACGGUCCAG
rnacentral:rRNA from 1 species